rnacentral:piRNA from 1 species
UGUUGUUUUGCCAUCGAGUCUUGUUGAUCU